AUGCUAUACAGCACUUUCCUGUUGGCCAAUCAUUCCAUAAACCUCAGUGCAGGGUCAGUGAGGACGACAGGGUGGAUUCCCGGACGAACUCUGCCAUGGAGAGAAGCCUCUUGGGGCUUGUGUGAGCUCAUGUGCCAUGAUGCCUGUAAGUGCAUGGGCUGACAAUUAUGCCAUGUGGAUCAUUCCUACAGGGGAUAACUCUGCAGAGAUGAGAGAUGUCCACUUGCACAUUCAUACAGCUUUAUAGGUUGUAGAAAGUUUCAAGGCUGGGAUAAGUAUGUUACUACUUUAUUUUUUUUAAUUUUUAAAUUUUGUUUAUUUUAUUUAUUUAUUUAUUUAUUCACUCAUUUUGCUUUUUAGGGCCGCACCUGAAGCAUAUGGAAGUUCCCGGGCUAGAGAAAGAAUUGGAGCUACACCACAGCCACAGUAACACCAGAUCCGAGCCGCAUCUGUGACCUACACCACAGCUCACGGCAAUGCCAGAUCCUUAACCCGCUGAGCAAGGCCAGGGAUCAAACCCGCAACCUCAUGGUUCCUAGUCAGAUUCAUUUCCACUGCACCAUGAUGGGAAUACCAUUACUGCUUUCUUUAAAGACAGUCCCUCUUUCCCUUCCUUUUGCAGCACACAUCAGCUGUUUCUUGAGCAAUUUCUAUUCAAAGUAAUCAACAUGCCAUCAUGGCCUAUCUUGGGGAUAGCCUAACCUGAACCCCAGCACAUCCAUUCAUCCAACUGUAAUGUGUUGUGUGCUUUCCAUGCACCAUGAAACAUUCUAAGCACUUUCUCUAUUUACUCUCCUUUCAGCUUUAUACCAAUAGUAUGAAGCUUGGGCGCUAACACUUGUCUAAGACAAACCAGAUGAAAAGAGUCAGAGUGAUGGAGUUCCCGUCGUGGCGCAGUGGUUAACGAAUCUUACUAGGAACCAUGAGGUUGCGGGUUCGAUCCCUGGCCUCGCUCAGUGGGUUAAGGAUCUGGCGUUGCCAUGAGCUGUGGUGUAGGUUUCAGACGUUGCUCGGAUCACACAUUGCUGUGGCUGUGGCAUAGGCUGGUGACUACAGCUCCGAUUAGACCCCUCGCCUGGGAACCUCCAUAAGCCCCGGGAAGCGGCCCUUAAAAAGGCAAAAAAAAAAAAGACCAAAAAAAAAAAUUGUCAGAGUGAGAAAUAUAAUCCAGGUGUCUCCAAAGCCCAUAAUCAUCAUAUUAUAUUGUUGUCCCAGCUGGUACACAGCUAAAGCAAAAGUCUAUGAGAAUGAUAGAAAGUAAUAGUGUGGGAGAGUUAUAUAGAAGAGAAGAUGCAUUUAGAUAGGUGAUCCUGCAAGCCUUCUGGAGAAAGCACAAGUUGGUCCUCAGAGUGUCAAGACUCACUGACAGAAUGUUCAGGAAUUUUCUUUGCAAGAAAAAGAGGAAGGGGUCCAGGCUUCAGAGUUUGGCAGACUUGGGUUGAAGUCCUGUCUUCAUCUAUUACUAGCUGUGUGACAUUGGACACCUUGCUUAACCUCUGUGAACCUUCAUUUUGUCAAUAUGAGAGGCCUCAAUGACUUGCUGUAAAGCUUAAAAGAAGUAUUAAACACAUCUAGUCCAAUACCUAAUAACAUAAUAAAUAUUUAACAAAUGAUGCUUGAUUUGAGCCA
rnacentral:lncRNA from 1 species